GGUUUAAUUCGAUGCAACGCGAAGAACCUUACCAGCCCUUGACAUCCUCGGAAUCCUGCAGAGAUGCGGAGUGCCUUCGGGAGCCGAGAGACAGGUGCUGCAUGGCUGUCGUCAGCUCGUGUCGUGAGAUGUAGGGUUAAGUCCCGCAACGAGCGCAACCCUUGUCUUUAAUUGCCAUCAUUGAGUUGGGCACUUUAAAGAGACUGCCGGUGUUAAACCGGAGGAAGUGGGGAUGACGUCAAGUCCUCAUGGCCUUUAUGACCAGGGCUACACACGUGCUACAAUGGCCGGUACAAAGAGUUGCAAUACCGCGAGGUGGAGCUAAUCUCAUAAAGCCGGUCUCAGUUCGGAUUGGAGUCUGCAACUCGACUCCAUGAAGUUGGAAUCGCUAGUAAUCGCGGAUCAGCACGCCGCGGUGAAUACGUUCCCGGGCCUU
rnacentral:rRNA from 1 species